rnacentral:rRNA from 1 species
CCUACGGGAGGCAGCAGUGGGGAAUCUUGCACAAUGGAGGAAACUCUGAUGCAGCGAUGCCGCGUGAGUGAAGAAGGCCUUUGGGUUGUAAAGCUCUUUUGUAGGGGAAGAUAAUGACUGUACCCUAAGAAUAAGGUCCGGCUAACUUCGUGCCAGCAGCCGCGGUAAUACGAAGGGACCUAGCGUAGUUCGGAAUUACUGGGCGUAAAGCGCGCGUAGGCCGUUGAGUUAGUUAAUUGUGAAAUCCCAAAGCUUAACUUUGGAACUACAAUUAAAACUGCUCGACUAGAGUUUGAUAGAGGAAAGCGGAAUACAUAGUGUAGAGGUGAAAUUCGUAGAUAUUAUGUAGAACACCAGUUGCGAAGGCGGCUUUCUGGAUCAACACUGACGCUGAGGCGCGAAAGUAUGGGUAGCAAAGAGGAUUAGAUACCCUCGUAGUCCAUACCAUAAACGAUGAUUGCUAGAUGUUGGAAAUUUAUUUCCAGUAUCGCAGCUAACGCAUUAAGCAAUCCGCCUGGGGAGUACGACCGCAAGGUUAAAACUCAAAGGAAUUGACGG